rnacentral:lncRNA from 1 species
AUAAUUUAAUAUUGGUAUAAUAGUGGCCUUAAACUAUAUAUAUGAAUGUAUGAUGUAUAUCCGAACAAUCCUUCCAAUAUGUGUUUACGGUACACGAUUUUAGCCACCAAACUUUAAACUAAGUGACCAUAUAAGGUUGAACCAAGUUCGAUGGCCAAAGCCCGUGUAUUGUGAACAUAUUUUAUGGCCAAAUUAUAUGUUUGACAAACAUAAUUCGCUAGUUUGUGAAGAUACAUCUUACCUUCACGCAUAUAGUUAUGGGCCAUUGUUGUUCCAAUCAUCAUUGUACAAAAAACUCACAUAUGGUGGAUUUCCCUGCACAUAUCAAUUGAUGCCAAAAUUGAAGGUUUGAGCAUGAACAAUACAUUUUAAUUGAUUUUAUCUAAUUUAAAUUUGUCUCACUCAUUAAUGUUCUGAGACAACUAUAAUAGGUUCACUCCAUUUGGCUAGACGUGGUAAACAAUUUUUAUUUUUUUACCAAGCGAAUCAACGAUAUUACUUAUACAUAUUAGCAUUUGAUAUUAAUAUUGGCAUAACAAUGUUUUGCAUAUUUUAACAUCAGUGUGUGAUGUAUAUCCUAAUGAUUCUUUCAAAAUAUUUGAUCAGACAACGUUUAAAGAAGUUUGAUUGCCAUAAACUAUGGAUUGGGAAAAUAUCUUAGGAUAUAUGUUAUAUUCAUGGAUAGAGUUGUGAGCUAAUGUUGUGUAAAUCACUAGCAAAGAAAUCUAAAGCACAUAUGGUGGUGGAACUCCUUACACAUAUCGAUUAUCAGCACAAAAUUAAAGGUUUGGAAAUAAACUCUAUAUUUUAAUUGAUUUUAUUUAAUUUAAAUUUGUACCUUGCUUUGCAUCUUAAGAAAACUAUAACAGUGUUGGCUUGCAUUAUACAUGUUGAAAACCAUUUUUUCAUGACAAAAUUGGUUAUAUAAAAUCAAAAUAAUAGAAACCAAUUGAUAAAAAAUCAAAUGAAGUAAACUUACAGACAUAGCAUUUUGUUUUUAAUAUUAGCAUUUGUUUUUCAUAUUUUCAUAUCUUUAUCAUUUCUAUUUGUCUUCUACUUAAAAAAAAAUAUAUCUCAUUUAUUUCAAUUUCAUUUUUCUGUUUUAUUUUCCUUUCAAAAGAAAGGAAUAACUAUCUUUUUCAUUAUAUAAUUUCCUCUCUCUAUCUAUUUCUACAUAAUAAUUUUUUUUGACAAAAUUUCUACAUAAUAAUUAUCACGUACUUUCUUUGUUAAAUGAAUCAUAAAUUCAUAAUGCCCCUUUUUCUUAUCUAGGAGUGAAGAGGGAAAUAUACAAAGAGAAAAAGAAAUGUUAAGACACAUCCUCUAACACAUUCAUCUAACACACCACAAUAAUAAGGUUGUCAAGUCACCUACUUUUGAUUUGGCAACUUUAUUAUUGAAGUGUGUCCCUGGCAUUUCUCAUAUAGAAAUUCUAUAGGUUAAUCAGAUGUUAGAGAAAUGUCUAUAGUGGUGCUUUGCCCUAUACCUUUCACCAAAAAAAAAAAGAAGUUAACUAUGUUUUUUAUCCCUAUAAAAUUUGGACCUUUUAAAUUUAAUCUUUACUUAAGUUUUUCUAGUUCCUGGAGAAAAUUUAUGCAAUCAGUUUUAGUCUAUUCUAAAUCCAACUUUGUUUAAUUAUGUUAAACUUUUAGAUUUUUGAACAAUACACCAUCCGGUCACUAAUAUAUAUAUAAGCAUAAAUUAACAUUAAAUUCGUUCAUUAAAAGAUGUAUGUAGUCUAUAAUAAAGACAAAAUACACCAUUAAUUGAAUAAAUGUAAAAUGUAAUUUUUUGCUUAUAAUAGUGAUCGGAUGAUGUAUUUUGUAGAUUUGUUAAGAAUAUUACUAAAAGUUACUCUGCAAACAAAUAGCUUAAAAUUUAAUUUUUAUGUCAAGAUUUUUGUUACUUCAUAUAUCUUUAACUUUUUUCGUUUAAAAAAAUUUAUAUUUAAUUCAUCUUAUGUUAUAAAAUUUUAAAUUUUAAUAAAUGAACCUUUUGUAGUAUUAUAAACGUGUCUCCCAAAAAUCGUUUAAAAUUUUAAGAAUAAUUAAACAAAGUUAGUUUCAACAAGGACUAAAAUUACAUGUAAUUUGUUUUUUGUAUGGACUAAGUAAGCUAUUCUAAUUAAGCAAGAAUUAAAUUAAAUUUUUUUAAUUUUAUAAGGGUAAAAACAUAUUUAACCUAAAGAAAAGAAUACAUGUAUAUAGUAUGCUGAGCUGUUAUCUGCCGGUUGGAAUAGUAAAAAGAGUAUGAAAAUAUAUAGUUGGCCUCAAUAUAUAGUUACGUCUUUGAUUCUUAUCUUUGACAUUUUUUUUUUUGUUUUAUCAAGGAGUCUAAUGGCUAGAGCUCACACAAUUUAAUUGUGGAGAAGUGGAGUGUCCAGGGUUCGAACCCCAACCCCCGCAUAUAACAUGCAAUAUCCCUACCAAUUAAACUAAGUUUACAGGGAUUAUCUUUGACGUAUUUAAUAAGUACUACUAGUAUUGACGUAUUUAAUUAGUAUUAUUGAAAGAGAGUAGUAUUAUGAAACUUAUAAUAUACUCUCUUUCAUACUAAUUAGUUUAUUGAAGAUUAACGAAUAUUUGAAAAACUAUAUCUAUUACUCUAUUGAGAGUAUUAAAUAUAAUAGAAAGUUUUUUUUUUAAAAUAGAUAAAACAACAACAAUAAUUAAAAAUCCAUAUACAUAAAUGGAGGAAUACCCUGGCUACAACAUCUGACAUGUAAUUUCGAUAUUUUUAUUAGUUGAUCUUGGACUUCUUGACAAAUAUAAAAAAAAAUUAUGUCAACAAAAAUUAAUGUAUAUGGUUUAAAUUUUGUAUAUAAAAAAUAUGUAUUUUGUCUAAAUUGUUAGACUACAUGGUGGUGUCAGAGCUUGUGCCAAGUAUUUUAACAAAUGGAAAAAUAUAAAUAAACAUUUUUUUGUUAUAUAAUUAUCAUAUUGACUUCAAUGAUAGUUUGCAUGUGUAUAGGUAUCUUGAAUCGGAUGGUGUUGUAUAAUCAUGUCAGUACCUUACAAAUAAGGAAUCCAAAUUGUAAUUUUUUUUCUUUUUAAUUGUGAUUUUGAGGGAAGUGAAUGCAAAAUAGCAUCUAUAAGGUUAAAUUGGUUUAUUUUUAUCAGGGCCGGAACUUGGGGAUGCAAGGAGCUCAACUAAGCUGGACCUCUAAAAAUUAUGAACCUAAAAAGAAAAUUAAGUAUAAUACCCACCCCACUUAAAUUAAAAAAAAAAAAAAAAAUACAUGUUACAUAUUUUUCUUUCUUUGGUACUCGUAUGAGUUUUUUUUUCUAGACUCUAGUUCUACUUUCUGGACAUAAAUUUGAUGCUAUCAAACCCC